rnacentral:rRNA from 1 species
GCAGCACAGUAAGAGCUUGCUCUUACGGGUGGCGAGUGGCGGACGGGUGAGGAAUGCAUCGGAAUCUACUCUGUCGUGGGGGAUAACGUAGGGAAACUUACGCUAAUACCGCAUACGACCUACGGGUGAAAGCAGGGGAUCUUCGGACCUUGCGCGAUUGAAUGAGCCGAUGCCCGAUUAGCUAGUUGGCGGGGUAAGAGCCCACCAAGGCGACGAUCGGUAGCUGGUCUGAGAGGAUGAUCAGCCACACUGGAACUGAGACACGGUCCAGACUCCUACGGGAGGCAGCAGUGGGGAAUAUUGGACAAUGGGCGCAAGCCUGAUCCAGCCAUACCGCGUGGGUGAAGAAGGCCUUCGGGUUGUAAAGCCCUUUUGUUGGGAAAGAAAAGCAGCCGGUUAAUACCCGGUUGUUCUGACGGUACCCAAAGAAUAAGCACCGGCUAACUUCGUGCCAGCAGCCGCGGUAAUACGAAGGGUGCAAGCGUUACUCGGAAUUACUGGGCGUAAAGCGUGCGUAGGUGGUUGUUUAAGUCUGUCGUGAAAGCCCUGGGCUCAACCUGGGAAUGGCGAUGGAAACUGGGCGACUAGAGUGUGGCAGAGGGUAGUGGAAUUCCUGG